UACGUAGGGGGCGAGCGUUGUCCGGAUUCAUUGGGCGUAAAGAGCUCGUAGGCGGCUUAGCAAGUCGGGUGUGAAACCUCCAGGCUCAACCUGGAGCCGCCACUCGAUACUGCUAUGGCUAGAGUCCGGUAGGGGACCAUGGAAUUCCUGGUGUAGCGGUGAAAUGCGCAGAUAUCAGGAGGAACACCAGUGGCGAAGGCGGGUCUCUGGACAGUUCCUGACGCUGAGGCACGAAGGCCAGGGGAGCAAACGGG
rnacentral:rRNA from 1 species